GCGGCGGUUGGCGCGGCCAACGGCGCCGCCCCGACCACCAAUGUCCGUGUGCGCCGUACGCCGUCGCUCGUCUCACGUCAGUCGUCUGCCACGUCAUCAGUCUCAGGCACAGCGGCUGGCGCCAUCGACGAGGCCACGUUCAUCGCGUCGUUCGAGCAGGUGCCCAAGGUGCAGCUGUUCU